ensembl:lncRNA
ACUAGAAUCUGAUUCAGAAGAUAAACGAAAAACAGCACCGUCAUACUGCACUUGACAGUCACUUGACUUUUAUUGCGAUAAGAUUCAGUGGAAUCUGUUCCACUUGAGGUGCGCGGAUCAUCGCACUAAUUGGAUAACAAUAUUUUUGGGGGAAUUCCUUAAAUGAACCAAACACUGAAACCAACUUUAAUGGGUCGUUGACACAGACAUUGACAGAUACUCGCUAGUUUACAGCUAGUCACGCACAUGAUGUUCUCCGACGAUAUAAUGCGAUCAAACCAGACUGACUGCAGCUGUCACCAGCUGUCAUGUGGAAACCGGGAAGGCCCCUCCUUUUGGUAACUUGUCCUCUCCGCUCGAUUCAAACUCACACGGAGCAUGUCUAGAAGCGAUAUAGCCCCAGCCAAUGCAGAGGCAAAACGAAAGCGAUGAGAUCCAGCAGUGACGGAAGUUUAAUUCCAAUGGACUAUGAGCGUUUCAAAUUCUUAAAGACGGGGAAAGCAUUCGAGUCAAUAAAACAACUGACCACCAAACUGAUUCACGUGGAAAAUCAGUAGGAAAGCAUGCAUUUCCAUCUGUUCAUCUUGAAACGAGUUUGCAGUGACGGCUUCGGUCUGCAUGUGAAUAUGGCUCAAAAAUGACCAAUGCAUCGUCUUGGUACUUCUGUUUUGAUGCUUAUUAUACUACCUCUUGCGUUUUCCUGUGAAAGUGGCCACAAUAAAAAACAGAUCACCGAGGAUUACCGCAAUAUCAUUAAGAUUCAGCUGAAGCACGUUGAGGCUAUGACUGAACAACUAAAUUCAAACUGCACAAUAAGAAAUGUGAGCAUGUUGAAGGAGCCAACAAAUACACAACAGUCCACCCACAGAAAAAUCUGCAGGGUUAAUGGAAAACUGAGGAGAAUCAUGAGGGAAUCAGAGAAUGUAAAUGGACAACUAAAAGAUGGUUUAUAUAAGCUUGUGGAAGAAAUAAAUGCGUCUUUGAGAUGUUGGUGUCAUCAGAAGGUAACCGAAACAACCCGUUUCCUCACAUUCAUUUUUCUUUUUACACCGUUUUAAUUGAUUUAAACCUCCUUUUUGUUUAAUUUGUGGAUAAACAGAGGGAGGGGACAAAAGAGCUGAAACAGCAAAGACGAAAGUGGAAGAUUUGCAGAGUGAAAGACAUUCUUGCCAACUUAGAGAUACAAUAUGAACAAUACAAUACGUAUCUGUCCCUCAGCACAGACCUUCCAGAGCGUGGGAAGACUUCAGAGCAAACCGGUAUAUAAUACUUGGCCUCCAUCCAUCUCUCUUACAAGAUUUGAUUGUACAGAAUAUGAAGUAACUGGACUAACCAUAUGCCUUUCACACUAUUCAGUAUUUGUCUGAGGACAAAGUGUUUUUUAUGGGAAAAUAUAUGCAAAGCAUUAACAUGAAAAAUACUACUAUGCAUGAAAAUGUAUCAAAACUUUGUACUUUGUAUUGUUAUCUUUGCUAUUAAUUGCUGAAUGAGUACAGAGGGUGUGCAAAUGAAACUUACAGUGUUUCUGUACAUUGCUGUAAGUGACAAAGUUGGCCAAAGCCUAUUAUAUUAACUCUCUAGGCCUCAAGUUAGAACUUUAUGGUCUACAUCUGCUUCUUAUUUGGGGAAGUGAUUCAGCUCACCCAAUUCGAAUCAUUCUUAGCAAGCUGAUGAUUAAGCUACCAUUGAAACACUUGUUUUUUCAAACAAAAUUGGGAUUGCUUUAUUUAAUUGCAAACCUCUGGAAUGGGCAUAUAAGUACACAUAUAUAAUUUCAAUCCACCUGUCGUAUAUUCCAAAUACUGUAAACCCACCAUUGCAUUUUAUUAAAUAAACACUUCAGUUUCGAUGCA